rnacentral:lncRNA from 11 species
UGCAUCUGUAUUUUUCUCUUGAACAGAUGGAGCAACUGCCUACCCACAUGUCAUUGGCACAAAAGAUGUAACGGAUAAUAGGAGAUGUAUAAAUGCUUAGUAGUUUCCCCACCAAAAUGAAGAAUGAGCAGAAUCUGUGCAAAAGCUCUCAACAUCUCUUCCAAAAGAAAUUGAGAACUUUGGAAAAGCAUCAUGAGAUUUAUAUCCCGG